CCCUUAGAUGUUCUGGGCAGCACGCGCGCUACAAUGGUCUUCGCAAACGGAUGCAUUCUCGAAGGAGAAUGCCAAUCUUGGAAUCUAUGCCUUGGUCGGGACAGUUGCUUGCAAUUUUUCGACUCGAACCAGGAAUUCCUUGUAAUCGUGAUUCAUCACAUCACGAUGAAUACGUCCCUGCCCUUUGUACACACCGCCCGUCGCUCCUACCGAUCGAAGAGUUAGGCGAAUUGUUUUGAUCGAUAAGAUUUGACUAUGGUCAACUCUCGUUGGGAAAUUCUGUGAAUCUGACUGUUUAGAGGAAGGAAAAGUCGUAACA
rnacentral:rRNA from 1 species